GACGAACGCUGGCGGCGUGCUUAACACAUGCAAGUCGAGCGAUGAAGUUCCUUCGGGAAUGAAUUAGCGGCGGACGGGUGAGUAACACGUGGGUAACCUGCCUCAUAGAGGGGAAUAGUCUUUCGAAAGGAAGAUUAAUACCGCAUAAGAUUGUAGUAUCGCAUGAUACAGCAAUUAAAGGAGUAAUCCGCUAUGAGAUGGACCCGCGUCGCAUUAGCUAGUUGGUGAGGUAACGGCUCACCAAGGGGACGAUGCGUAGCCGACCUGAGAGGGUGAUCGGCCACAUUGGGACUGAGAAACGGCCCAGACUCCUACGGGAGGCAGCAGUGGGGAAUAUUGCACAAUGGGGGAAACCCUGAUGCAGCAACGCCGCGUGAGUGAUGACGGUCUUCGGAUUGUAAAACUCUGUCUUCAGGGACGAUAAUGACGGUACCUGAGGAGGAAGCCACGGCUAACUACGUGCCAGCAGCCGCCGUAA
rnacentral:rRNA from 1 species